UGUAUGCCCUGUGGGCGCUAUGGUAGCCAUGAAGGCCCAUCAGGACCCCUGAACAUGAGACAGCUGACAGGGCUCUGGUGAAACAAGAAGUCCUCAAUGGCAGAUCAGGAGGAGGAGACUGGCUGCAGCAUG